UGGCCUAUGGUGUAAUUGGCAGCACGACGGUUUCUGGUUCCGUUAGUCUAGGUUCGAGUCCUGGUAGGCCAGC
rnacentral:tRNA from 15 species